UACGUAGGAUGCAAGCGUUGUCCGGAAUUAUUGGGCGUAAAGAGCGCGCAGGCGGUCUAUCAAGUCAGAUGUGAAAUAUCCAGGCUUAACCUGGAGGGGUCAUUUGAAACUGGUAGACUAGAGUACAGCAGAGGAUAGUGGAAUUCCCGGUGUAGUGGUGAAAUGCGUAGAUAUCGGGAGGAACACCAGUGGCGAAAAGCGGCUUCCUGGUCCAGCACCGACGUCAGGCACGAAAGCGUGGGGAGCAAACAGG
rnacentral:rRNA from 1 species